rnacentral:rRNA from 1 species
CAGCCGCCGCGGAAUACAGAGGGUGCGAGCGUUAAUCGGAUUUACUGGGCGUAAAGCGUGCGUAGGCGGCUUCUUAAGUCGGAUGUGAAAUCCCUGAGCUUAACUUAGGAAUUGCAUUCGAUACUGGGAAGCUAGAGUAUGGGAGAGGAUGGUAGAAUUCCAGGUGUAGCGGUGAAAUGCGUAGAGAUCUGGAGGAAUACCGAUGGCGAAGGCAGCCAUCUGGCCUAAUACUGACGCUGAGGUACGAAAGCAUGGGGAGCAAACAGGAUUAGAUACCCCCGUAGUCCCUGUCUCUUAUACA